GUCCUGCUGGAUAGCUCAGUUGGUUAGAGCGUGAUGCUGAUAACACCAAGGCUGCAAGUUUGAACCCCAUAAGGGACA